AUUUUUGGAGUGAUACCUGAGGAAACAAACAGCCCUUGUCCCGCGAGCAGAAUGAAAAUCAGCUGGAGGCUUUAAGGAAGAGGCCAUAGAGCCGGGGUGCGCCCCUCACCUCCAGGGUGCCCUGGCUCACAGGUGUUCCCCAUCACUGUAUUUUGGAACCUGAGAUGCCCCUGGUGUCACAGAGCACCUCCCCCUGCACCCUGCAGCAGGUGAGGGCUGUCCUGCUGCCCACCCUGGGGGGAUUUGGGAGCUCAGGGCUUGGCUGCGUGGUCUCCUCCUUCCAGCUCCUUCCCAGUGAACAAACACGGGAUCCUGAGGGGCCCCAGGACACGGAAUGCCGAGGGUGCAGCGCUGCAGCUGUUACUGCUGAGCCAGAUGUUCCACAGAGCUCAGAGCAUUCCUCUGCACCCUCUGGAAAGGCUCAGAGGUGGACACUGGACACUGGACACUGGCUCUGCACAGGACCCAGCCAGCUGAACGAGCCACGGGCCAGUGAGUAAAGGUCUCUUUUAUGAACCAAGGCCAUUCAUGCUUUGCCAAGGCCUUCCCUUGAGAUGCCUGAAUAAAUUCCCUGGAUUGACAGGGCCUGCAGAGCAGCCCUGUGAGUGAGAGGGACUCUGCUCUGCUCCUUCCUCCUGGUGUGCAGCUCUGAAUUCGCUCGGGCGAAAAGGUCAUUUUUCAAAUCCAAGGAAAAUAAUUUUUCUUUUCUGGUGACUUUACAGGCACUGAACAUAUUCUGGAAAUCUCCAAAUCUCCAAGUGGCCUUUAAUUAGCUAAUCUUGAUAAAGUGACUGUGCCUAAUGCUGGGGGGCUUCCCAAAGUCCCUGGGCUCUGGGAUGGACCUUCCUGCGGUGGGGAGAGCACAGGGCUGUGACAGCAGCUCUGGUGGCGAAGAGAGGGGGGGAUCCUGGAGCCACAGCCUGGUGCUGGCUGGAAAGGACCCUGGAGCUCCCUUGGUGUGGGGUUACAGCCCCUUUUUGAGGGGAAAGAGCCCGAGAGCUCUCUCUGUGCUUCCCGCAGCCCCUGCACACAGCCUGUGCACAAACUGAAAUGAGCCUUUUGUUCUCUGCCUGGAAUUGCCCAGCCCUUCCUGCAGCCGAGGGGCUGCUGUGGGACAGACACUGCCCUGGGCCCGGGGUCCCUCUCAUGGGGCUGUUCCAGGCCUUGUGGUGCCAAACCACAGCCUGGUGAGAGCUGACAGCAAGGGGACAGGACCCAGAUCUGGGACAGGACCUGAACCUGGGGGACAGGACCCAAAUU